CAACUAGGAGGUAUAUUUUCUGUUGGGGAGAAAUCCCCAUAUGAUGGCAAUGACUUGGCAUUGGUAAGGGAAAGAAUACCUUCAUGCCUUCAUGGUUCUUGCCCUUUUUCUGUCUCACCAAAAUCAAGACUCAGGUCAUGUGCACGUUUGUCAAGAAAACACCUUUUUUUUUUUCCAUAAAAUAAAAAGGCCCUGGAAGACAAGUGUAAUGCAUUGAGGUCUAUGAAAGCCACAAAAGAAGCAAAAGUCAAACAGCUGAAGGAGAAAGCACAUAACCUGGAAGAAUUCUAUGAACAAAGAAAAGUGCCUACAUAAAAGAAGCUGAAAAUGACACUGUGAACUGGCGGCAAAGAAGAAUCAGCUGGCAGCUGCAAGCAACAAAUUGAACAAACACGGGAACGGCUGCAGCAGGCAGAGCUCACCUUUAGACACCAGAUUGCAGUUCAUAAGAAAAAUGCUCAGGACAACUAGCUCAAGACUCAGAUCUGGGACAGGGAGAUGGCGGAGCAGGGCAGGGAGGUCGCUUACUUGAAAUACAGGUGUGGUCAUUUGACUUGCGUUUUUAUGGGUGUUGCCAGGGAUGACGCCCGCACUGUUUGUUGUCUAGUAGACGACAUGGUGUUGCAACUCUUAUAGAAGUCCAUUAUUUUUCUGUAUCCAGGACUGGAAGGGAUGGAAGCAAAGAGGCUGCCUGAGGGAUACACGAGGCAGAAACCAAUGGCUGCAAGACCAGAGACGCAGAAUCCUCCAAGGAGAGGGCAGUCUGGAUCCUGAGGACCUCUUCCAUUAACUGGAAGAUUCUGCAUGCCCUACCCUAGAUGUGCUCCGCCCCCACGGACUAUUAGGCACAUCCACCUCCUGAACCUUGGUGGCCCUGGGGCCACCCCGAACCCCUCCACCUGCAACACUUGGGCUUUUUGUAGGUCCAGAAGCAGGUGUCACACUCAAGAGUGACAUCAACACUGGCUCUGCCAAAACUGCCAAGAAGCACAAGGCUAUUAUGUAUGCAAGAGGGCCUUGUCCUUUCCCAGGAUCGCCUUGCAGGCUGUACCCCAGCACCACCCUUCACCACCAGUCAUGGGCUAUAGGCCACAUUCCCCUCCUCCACCAGCUCCUCCACCUAUUCUAUUUGUUAAGAUGACCUGAAUUGAAUGAGUGGCUGGACAAUCACUUUGAAAUUUGAAGAGGACUGUGCACGGUGACAGACUAUGGUGAUUAUAUAUACAUUUUAAGAACGUAUCAGAUCUACCUGAAUGCUUUCCCUGCCCAUCAUGUCACCUCCACUUUGUCCUUCCUACUGUCCCCUAAUCCACCUUUCACCAUUCUGUCUCUGUGUCAGCGUCUGCUUCUAGGACCAUCUACUCUCACUCCCCAUUGAGUGCACACAGUGGGGUUCCUGUACACACAGGUAACAAACUGGCAGAAAUGGUGAUGAUAGAGGAUAGAAGCAAGAUCACCCUUUAUGCAGGGGAGCCUGAGGGAGUUUUCCAGGGUGAUGGGAACUUCCUAUAUCUAGAUUGUUGAGGUGCUUAUGCUAAUUUAUUUUAGAAAUAUUCACUGACUCCCUGGUGCCUCGGGGUCAGAUAGACAGGUAUCUGUCCUAGGAAAUGGCUGAGUUCUAAUGGUGGGGAAGGAUGAGGGAUGAGCAGUGACUUUGGGAGAGGAGUGAGGAGGCCACACAUGGAGUCAGACCCUCGCCCAGAAUGCCAGGUCUCCACAGACUACACCACGUGUAGGAGGGCUCUGAGGAGCAGAGAUUUCUUGAUCUGACCCAUGAACUACCUAAUCCUCUUGCAGUUUCCUCACUGAUGGAUGGACAGGGCAGAGACCAGCAGCUGGAGGACACCCUGAUCACAGCUGGAUUGGAGCAGUGGACCUGGGGGAUUGAGUCUGAGAAAGGAACAGGCAGAAGGUAGCGACAGGGGGUUUGAGAGACAAAGGGAAGAAAAGAGAAGGGACGCUUGUCUGUUGACUUCACCUACAUUUCUGUGUGACCAAAAGGAGACUCUUGUCUCCAAGGGUAGGGAAGAGGGCCAGCAAAAGGAGUGACAUUCUCAGCUCAAGAGUCCAGGAUGUCUGCCCUGCUCUUGAGUACCUAACACAGGAAGCGCAUACUUUUUGUCAUGAUUGGAACUGCGGCUCAUACCAUUUAGUGAAAAUCAAUCCAAUUAUGAAUCCCUCAACAUUAAAGUACUGCAACAAAAUUAAGUGAACAGACUGAAAGAUACAACACAGGAUAAAGUCCAAGGGUAGACUGACCGCAAUACUUACAGGAAUACAGUCUAUCAGAAAAGGAGGUAGGUACCCCAGUGCAGGCAUUCAGACACCUGGGCAAUAUCUGAAAACGUAAAAAAAAAAAAAAAAAAUUAGUCCUUACUUCAAAAGCAACAUAAGUGCUAGACACAAAGGGAUCAUGAUUUAAGGUUUAGAGAGAAACCAUAUGAUUUCAUGGUGCUGUAUCCAUGAGAUCAAGUCUCAUCAAAUUAUACCCUUUAACUUGAGGCUAUUUGUUAUAUGUAAAUUAUACCUCAUUAAAGAGAGUUUCAAAACA